AGCAUGCUCAGAAUGUGACAAUAUAUUUUUGUUCAAUAUUUAAUUUCUUUCAGUUGCAAUUGUUAAAUGAAAAAUAAAAAUAAAAAAUGUAUUCUUAUAAUUUAACAAAUGAAUUCAUCAAAAAAAUAUAUAUACAUAUAUACAUAUAUCUGUAUUAGUUUUAAUAAAUUAAUUUGACACCUGUAUUGAAAAUACCAUAUUGUAUUCAUACAGAAUCAGUUUGGUAUCAUUGUUUGUCUGAUUGUUGAAACUAAGAGCUACUUUGAUCUGUUUGGUCUAAAGUAUCCAAAGUUGAGCUCUGAUGUUUCGUCACCCCUGUGUGUGAUAUGUGAUUUCCUACAUGCUGGCAGAGCAGAGCGGCAGUUUGUGCUCACAGAUGGUGACGGUGUGGAGAGACGGUGGUGUUUCCUCAGAAGAACCAGCAGAGUCACAAAGGACACCAGUCCAUCUCACCACCUUGACUUGCUGACUUAUGUUCGUCUGCACUGCACAGAGGAAAUCAACUGACCGAGGAGUGUUUCUGAGUGAGGGGGAGAGGAGUCAUCAUCCAGGUAAAGUGACGUGGAUCAGUGGACACACUUGUCUCCCCUUUAAAGGAGACGAUCCAAGUCAUCCUUAAAUAUGGGCAGCAUAUCAGUCUUGGACUGUCUAACCUGCAGCACUGAAUGACCACCACACAUGAGCAUGUUCCUGCAACAUUCAGCAUCUGAUCCUUCAUCUGUGUGCUUCUGCUUUUGUGUCACAUGUCAAACAGCUGGAGAGGAAACUACACCAGUGUACUGAGAUGUUUCAGCAACACGUGCCAGAUGCUGUUCCUUCAUGGUGACAUCACCAGAGACAGCCCCGCCCACCUCAGGACCUCGCCAUUGAUCAUGAUGAUUAUAAUGAUGACAGCGAGCGGAACUAAGACUGUAAAAAUCCACGACCAGAAUUUUUCUUUCUAAUUAUU